AAAGACUCAAUUCCUGGGUUUUCGUGUCCUACGUUUGACUGUUCGUUUUGAUAUGAUUUUUUUAAUUAGUAUUUUCAUUGUUGUUAAAUGAUAAAACAUAAAUAAUACUUUAUGUGUGACUUAUUUUUUUAAUUUUUUAAUUUUUUAAUUUUUUUCAUAAUUUUUUCAAAUAAGACGGACGGUCAAAUGUUGGACACAGAAACUUAGGAAUUGAGUUAUU
rnacentral:pre_miRNA from 1 species